rnacentral:rRNA from 1 species
AUUGAACGCUGGCGGCAUGCUUUACACAUGCAAGGCGGACGGCAGCACAGAGAAGCUUGCUUCUUGGGUGGCGAGUGGCGAACGGGUGAGUAAUAUAUCGGAACGUACCGAGUAAUGGGGGAUAACUAAUCGAAAGAUUAGCUAAUACCGCAUAUUCUCUGAGGAGGAAAGCAGGGGACCUUCGGGCCUUGCGUUAUUCGAGCGGCCGAUAUCUGAUUAGCUAGUUGGUGGGGUAAAGGCCUACCAAGACGACGAUCAGUAGCGGGUCUGAGAGGAUGAUCCGCCACACUGGGACUGAGACACGGCCCAGACUCCUACGGGAGGCAGCAGUGGGGAAUUUUGGACAAUGGGCGCAAGCCUGAUCCAGCCAUGCCGCGUGUCUGAAGAAGGCCUUCGGGUUGUAAAGGACUUUUGUCAGGGAAGAAAAGGCUGUUGCUAAUACCGACAGCUGAUGACGGUACCUGAAGAAUAAGCACCGGCUAACUACGUG